rnacentral:rRNA from 1 species
UACGAAGGGGGCUAGCGUUGCUCGGAAUCACUGGGCGUAAAGCGCACGUAGGCGGACUCUUAAGUCGGGGGUGAAAUCCUGGAGCUCAACUCCAGAACUGCCUUCGAUACUGGCGAUCUUGAGUCCGGGAGAGGUGAGUGGAACUCCGAGUGUAGAGGUGAAAUUCGUAGAUAUUCGGAGGAACACCAGUGGCGAAGGCGGCUCACUGGCGUCGAUACUGACGCUGAGGUGCGAAAGCGUGGGGAGCAAACAGG